rnacentral:rRNA from 1 species
AACGAACGCUGGCGGCGUGCUUAACACACGCAAGUCGAGCGGUAAGGCCCCUUCGGGGGUACACGAGCGGCGAACGGGUGAGUAACACGUGAGCAAUCUGCCCUUCACACGGGGAUAACUCCGGGAAACCGAAGCUAAUACCCGAUACGACCACCUCAGGCAUCUGAUGGUGGUGGAAAGUUCCGGCGGUGAAGGAUGAGCUCGCGGCCUAUCAGCUUGUUGGUGGGGUAACGGCCCACCAAGGCAACGACGGGUAGCCGGCCUGAGAGGGUGACCGGCCACACUGGGACUGAGACACGGCCCAGACUCCUACGGGAGGCAGCAGUGGGGAAUAUUGGACAAUGGGCGAAAGCCUGAUCCAGCAACGCCGCGUGAGGGAUGACGGCCUUCGGGUUGUAAACCUCUUUCAGCAGGGACGAAGCGCAAGUGACGGUACCUGCAGAAGAAGCCCCGGCUAACUACGUGCCAGCAGCCGCCGUAAUAC